AACGAACGUUAGCGGCGCGCUUAACACAUGCAAGUCGAACGAGAGAGGGCUUCGGCCCCGGUACAGUGGCGCACGGGUGAGUAACACGUGGGUAACCUUCCCUCGAGCGGGGGAUAACGUUCCGAAAGGAACGCUAAUACCGCAUAAGACCACGGGCUCGAAAGAGCCUGGGGUAAAAGUAAGCCUCUGAAUUCACGCUUACACUCGAGGAUGGGCCCGCGGCCCAUCAUGGUAGUUGGUAGGGUAACGGCCUACCAAGCCGAAGACGGGUAGCUGGUCUUAGAGGAUGAUCAGCCACACUGGAACUGAGACACGGUCCAGACUCCUACGGGAGGCAGCAGUGGGGAAUCUUGCGCAAUGGGCGAAAGCCUGACGCAGCGACGCCGCGUGGGUGAUGAAGGCCUUCGGGUUGUAAAGCUCUGUGGGGAGAGACGAAUAAGACGUGGCUAACAUCCACGGCGAUGACGGUAUCUCCUUAGCAAGCACCGGCUAACUCUGUGCCAGCAGCCGCAGUAAUAC
rnacentral:rRNA from 1 species